ensembl:lncRNA
AGUGAGAGGCCAACAGACAAGCCAGUUGGCCUUGAGCUCCGGCUCACUAAUAAUAGCAUCAUCCAGGCCGGCUCAGAGCUGCGGGGACUGCAGGAUGACAUCACCCAGAUGGAAGCAGAAGGGAUGGGCAAACCGCAAGGUCCCAAGGGCUGAUGAACACUGGAAGCUGCUUGAGAAAACCCAGGCUGGAGUGCAGCAGUGCAAUCUCAGUUCACUACAACCUCUGCCUCCCAGGUUCAAGAGAUCCUCCCACCUCAACCUCUUGAGUAGCUGGGACUACCAGAUAGAAGAAGAAACUGGGACUCAGAGAAAUUAUAUACUUUGCUCAGAGUCAUCCACGUGGUAAUGGACAGACCUGUACUUCCUGUCUUUUCAGACUUAGGUUGGACUUAUUUUGAAUCAAAGCAAGUCCUGUGAGAAAGGAAGUAUUCAAUUCACUCCAUCUAGUAAAUGUCUAUUCUCUUUCUACUUUCUCACAUUAUCCAUUUUACCUACCUUCUCAGCAAUUGCACAGUAGUAGAGAAAAAAUGCCUUCUUGCCCUUAAUUGAAAGAAUACAGAAUGUUCUAAAACUUCAACAAGUUUGAAAUUUCUACAUUUGAAAACUCUCAACUAAAAUGUGCUGUUAUUUCUACAGGCUUCUGCCCUCUACAAGCCAAGAGGAAUGUCUGGAAAUGAGAGAAUAGACUACCCUGAAUAUUAAAUUUCUAUUUUUAAAAAGUACUAAAAACUGAGAAACACCAUGUACCAAAACUUCACCAAAAUAAAGAAAACAUAAAUUAGAGAAGUGAACAAUGAAUUGUGUUUGGGAGUAGCUCAUAAUUCUGCGCAUUUUUAUCGUAAAAUCAUAGCCACUUCAGACAAACCAACGAAUAAGCCGAGCCCAUCUUGAGGCAGAGACAGAGACACAUAAACAUAUCCCAAAUUUAUAAAUAAAUAGAACAUUCAAUUAAUAACAAUCCAUACUUCUUUGCUGUCAAGAAGAAGCCAAAACAAUUUGUGGACUGAAAAAUGUUCUCAUUUUGAUCAUCAACGUUUAUGAAGUUUAUGUUAUUUGUCCUUGCGGUUGACCUUGAGAAAGCAAGAUGGGCUAGGCAUGGCCAUUGUCCUUAAGACAUUUACCUCCAGGAGCAAUACAAGCACACACAAAUUAUAGUAAAUAUGUCACAGGCCACUGUGGAAGCAUGAGCCAAGAGCUGAUGAGAGAACACAGUGUGAGAACACAUGUCAGAGAAGGCUUUGUUGAAAGGUUGAUGCCACCAAUUCCUGCUUUCUGCAAUACUGCUCAGCUGCAAAUGUGGAGAACUUCAAUCCACUAGCAUAGUUUGUGAGAGAUUAUAGGCAAAAGAAAAGUACUUAUUAAGAAUCUCAUUGGUACAAGACGCUGGGAUUUUGAACUAAUCUGUGGCCUUAAUUCCAUAGAGGAUGUGAAAUAAUCUGGUCAUAGCACUGACCCCAACCCCAUUCCUGCACAAGGCCCUCUCUGUCCUUGUUCCCCUUGGCCUGAAACACUAAAUUUGAGCCUCUUCCUGGUGGAUCAGGACAGACUAGUUAGCCUCUGCCUUUCAAUAACACAUCCACCUGGAUCCAAAUUCCCCAGCCAUCAGCUCUGACGGCACUCCAAACCAUCACCCACAACACUGAGCCUGACUUGCUCUGGGAGCCUUCACAUAAGACUCUGGGUGUUGGACCUUAAACAGUUGGUGAUUCUCAAGCUGUUGUUCACUGCUAUUUGAUCCAGGCUUCUAUUUUAUCAAGCAUUGCUGUCCAUAAUUCCUCUACUUUGUCUUUUUUUGGCUACCUCAAUUCUGCAUGCCUCCACACUGCCAUCUAAGCAUUACUGCCUUUCCCAACCUGGACUGCCAAACUGACUGACUGACUGGCUGUUAGACCACUGACCUCAAGGUGAAGGUCACGGUUUAUAGAUUAUUAUUCAGCUUUGCUAAUUUGGCCCUUGGUACAGCCGAGGGUAAUUUGUCCUCUCACCUACAAGGAAGUCAGGGUGAACAGAAUUUCCUCUUUGCCUCUCCCAACCACUGGCUUUAUUCCCUCUUUCAUUCAUUCACAAGUAAUUGUGGAUGAGACUUCUCGCCCUGCUCUGGCCUGAGUACGGAGCGCACAGUGGUGAACAUUGCUGCCCUCUCUGGAGCCGCCCUCUCUGGAGCCGCCUCCAGACUUCCAAAACCCUGCCCCACACAUGAAGCACAUUCCUAGGCUUUUUCAGAUUGGAGCUGAAAGAGAAAGAGCCAGAACUCAGAGGCUCUGUGGAUGCUGGAUUUGGACUGAGGAUUAUCCAUUUGGGGAAUUGAGGUUAACCAUUAAUUAGAUCUUUUCAGCUAUCCCUCAGGAAACCUGCAAGCACAGUGACCACAUCUGCCUGUGUUGGUUAUGCCUGGUGGUGUUUGCUCUGCAUUUUGAAGGAUUAGUGAAAAAUCCCAGAAAUAAGAGAAAAACUUAUUCCAGAAAGAGGAAACAUCAAAGUCAAAAGCAAGAUGGUACUCCAUAAAUACAAAUGAUGGAUUUAUGUUUGUCAAUCCUACUGUUAAGAAUGAAAGAUAAUACAGUAUCUUCAGCACUAUCGUUAAAGUGACUUAAAGCAAGUCAUUGUGCCGAUUCCAUUGUGGGAGAAAGAAUAAGGUCUAAUGUCUUUCUCUAAUGUGGGUGUAUUUGUUUUCUAUUGCUGACUUAAUAAGACUCCACAAACUUAGUGGCUUAAAACAACACAGACUGAUUAUUUGACAGUGCUGGUUAGCAAUCUGAAAUGGGUCUCACUGGACUAAAUUAAGCUGUCAGUAGGAUGGUGCUUUCUUCUGAAAGCAUUAGAGGAGAAUUUAUAUUCUUGCACUUCCAGCUUCUGAAGACCACCCACAUUUCUUUGUUGGUGGCCUCUUCCUCCUCCUUUCGGAAAGAGUCCUUCAUUCAUAUCUUACCUCUCUGACCACAGCUGGGAAGUUUGUUCUGUGCUUCAGGAUUAAUGUGAUUAUAUUGGACCCAGUUGUAUAAUCAAGAAUCGUCUCCUCAUCUCAAGAUCCUUGAUCUCUGUCGCAUCUGCAAAGUCUUUUUUUACAUUUAAGUUAACUUCUACUGGCUCCGAGGUCCAGGGCAUGGACAUCUUGGAGAUGAAGGAGAAUGUUCUGCUGACCACAGUGGUGUUAAGAGCCAGAUCAAGGCCCAAAUUUGAUAUUUUUCUAUAUUAAUUUGUGUUAUAAUUUUAAAGUAAAGGGUACCCUGCAGUUAACUGAUUAGAUCUAAAUAGUUUUAUAAAAGAGUUUUUCUUAGUUGAAAACUACUAGUUAGUGCUUUUACUAGUGAAGAUGAAGUCUUAACUCAUCUCUAAAUGCACUAACUGCCUCACCAUUCACCUUCACGUGAAUAAAGCUGAUCGGAGGUUUCAAGGUUUUAACCUUCCAUGAAAAUCUGUUGGGGUCACUGUACUGUCCUCCUCUUGUGCUUCCAAGAAACAUCCAGCCAUGGUUUGAAUGAUCACUUUCUGGUCAUCACUCACAGCAAUAGAAGUGGACUCUAAUACAAAUAACCCUGAAUCACCAAACGUAUAACGGAGAUGCUCCACAGAGCACAGUAAUAGAAAUUUCAGAAAAAACUAAAGAAAUUACUACUUGACAUGGUGGCAGCUGGCCUGGUCUUUCCAUUGGCAGGUCUUUGUGACCUGGCGGAGAGACAGCAACACUCCUGAGUUACAGAUCAUGCUGCUGUGCCUUGGGCACAGAAAACAACCAUGUGCCUAAGUCCUUGAUCUAAGUUGCAUUGAUCAAUCUCCGUUCUGCCCUGUAUUGGAACAGCUACAGCUGUUUCAUCAGGAGCAGGCCAGGUGUCAGGCGGGUUUGUUCGCGCAUAUCUCACGUCAGUGUCUCACUACUGAGAGGCUGUACCAAUGGCACUUAUGCUGGCCCAGUAGGUGUGUGGCUUAAACCCAGGCUUGGCUACAAAGCCAAUUCUGUGCUCCUAGCCAAUUAGCUUUACAUCUCUCAGCAUUAUUUUCUCCUUUGAAACAUGUAAUUAUGAUAUCUACAGCAUUGUUUAGUAGCUAGAAUUAAGCAGGUUAAUGUGAAUCUACAUACCUGCCAUUCAAUAGCGGAUACUUAAUGAAUCAGAUCAUCUGUUUUUUUCAAAUGUCUACAUGCUAGACACAAUCCUAAGCCUUUCAAAUAAAAUGCAGUAGAAAAACACUAAAACAGCAAUUAUAGAAUGUCGCAUAAUAUAAUUAUGCAUAAUUGUUAAUGUUCAUUUUCUGUCAGAACUGGCUGGCAUCUCAUACUAGUAUCUCCUUUUUUAACAAGACAGUUUUGAAUUAUUGCUGCUCAAAGAAGUUAACAUUUUCAUUUCAGUGGGCAAAUCCAUUAGGGCCUGUGAGUUACUCCAACGCAUAGGUUGUUCCACACGACCUGAUAAUACAAAGAAAUAAAACGAAUUUUAUGUCUCUGCUAGAAAUUUUGAAGAGCUAGUCAUUUUUUUUAUUUUACUUGUUUUGAAAGACACAUUAUUUGACUCAAACCAGGCAUUGUGUUUUAUGGCUGAAUCAGAAGAUUAAAGAGGAAAAUGUAGAAAACAUGAAAAGUUUGAGGACUCAGAAAACAUUAGAGUAUAUGAAGAUAAUGUGACAUAACUUUUCUUACAUUUGUAAAUGUUUUAAUCAAGAAUAAAAUAUCUAUAAAAAGUACACAAUUGAUGUGUGUGGAGCUCAAUGAUUUU